CGACGAUAUGUCCCCUCUCUGGUCCGAGCUAUUUUCAGCGCGAGCGCGUCACGUUGCCGUCCAGCAAACUUCAUCUGGAGUGAAUGAAGAAUACGCGCACACCUCCGGGAUUACAGCUCAUGCGUUAUCAUGAAUUGAGGUCAGGUGCACUAACUUCAAACGAUGAAUUCUGCGAGCGACAAAACUGCGUGAUCUACCUCGCUCGGCAACUUGGUCCAAGUGCAUCCUAGGAAAUCUCAGCAUCAAGGCUAGUGUGAGCAAAGCUCUACGGCUUACGUUUUUACAGCCCAUCUCAUAAAUGUGAGCGCCUGCAACUCUGCGUGACAUGUCUUCGUGUUUAUGAAGGGCUCUGGAGAUGUCUCGCGACGAUAUGUCCCCUCUCUGGUCCGAGCUAUUUUCAGCGCGAGCGCGUCACGUUGCCGUCCAGCAAACUUCAUCUGGAGUGAAUGAAGAAUACGCGCACACCUCCGGGAUUACAGCUCAUGCGUUAUCAUGAAUUGAGGCAGGUGCACAACUUCAAACGAUGAAUUCUGCGAGCGCAAAACUGCGUGAUCUACCUCGCUCGGCUGAUGUCCUUGUUCAUGAAUGAGAGAUUAUUCGUUCAUCGCCUUCUGCCCGAUCAUCACUUCUCCACUCUCAUCCCGCAGCUUUCCGCUUUUCAUCUGAGCGUCCGUGUAAAAUGGAAAUCUGAAGUGCUCCACUUUCGCAGUUUCUCACCUUUCAAAGAAAAAGGUCCCAGGAUACCCAAAUUGCCAGGUCUUCUCCUCCUCUCCAUACCGCUCCGCUGGCUGCUCCUAUAGCUUCUGGAGAACGCCUCCUCUCUGCGCUGCCUCGGACACCAGGAACCUGCCGCCACGUCAAUCACGUCCUCACAGCUGGGUAAUUAAUUUCAAGUGCAAAUUGUAGUCAUCUUCACUUGAGAGAGGGUGAGAAUAGAUCAGAGUUUCCCCUCCUUUAGUCUGUUUAUACACAGUCCUGAGGCUUUCCAAACUGAGCUUGUUCCUCCAGACCAGUUUGCCAAUGAGGCUCUGCUUAAAUCUCCAGGGUGGUGAUCAGAGGUUUUUGUGUUUUUGUUUGUGCAUUUUUCAAAGCCAAGUGACUGUAAGGAAUAUCAGUCAUUUUAGAGUUGCCUGCUUGGCUACAAGUCACCUGUGAAUUUUCAAAGUACACUCUUUAUGAGAAGAGGCCUUUGUGACUGAGCCAAUAGCCUUUGGUGUCUUUCAAGAAUACUUUACCAAGCCCACUAUGCAGAAUCUUAUGAGACUGGCUUUGUCAACACAAGACUUUAUGGCCUCAUGGAGUUGACCUCUUUCUUCUCUUUCUUUUUUCACUUUUUGGAAACUUGUUGUUUACCUUGUUCAGUCUAUGUUGAACUUAUUAAUGUUGGGAAAUGUUACUUUGGAAAGUGUAAUUGCGCUGCUAUAAAAAAUGGCAAUUACAUAUCAUAGACACACACAUAGACACAAGCACACACUUACGCACAGGCUUUUUGUGGUAGACAGAAUACCCACAUUUCCUCUGUGAGCCCUCAUUUAGGUGUGCUGACCUUGCAUGAGCUGCGUCAAUCACUCUCUAUCUGCCGGUAAAUCCUCCCUUAUCUUAGGCUUAAACUGACAGAGCUCGCACACAUCUGCACUGCAGGAGACUGUGAGGCUGUACGAUCCAGGAACAGAGUCAGAUUGACUGAAGCUACUGGAGUGAUGGGAUAGUUUGUUUGUGAAUGGCAUAUGCUUAAAGUGGGUUUGGGUUCAGGGUGUUCACACAGGAUGGGGGCUGAAUGGUGAAUUAGGCAUGUUCAGGGCAGCUGUGUGGCUAGUUUGAAGCCCGGAUUCACUUUUGUGCAAGAUGGAAAAUGUAGAAUUGUUCUGUGCACUUUGCAUCCAGCACAGAUUUUUGUGGGUGCACUUUGCUUCAUUGCCUGAUUUGCAUAAUUACUUUAGUGAAACGGGCGCUAAAACAAUAAGCGGUGCUAUCAGUGGGCACGAUUUACUGUUAGUAAAUCUGUAAAGUUUAAGGAGAAGGUGGUGUUUCGUUAUAGCUGUUGAGACAGCUCUGUCUCUGGAGGUAGAGCUGUGUGAUUUGAGUCUUAUUGUCCUCCAAGACAUUUGAGGGAACAGCUCUGCCUCGAGUCUGCAGUGCACUCAGUGGAACUGUAGAUCUCACCGUUGGCUGAAUGUGUGCUCUGUGUGCUCUCUCCCUCUUGCUGUCUUUCUCUCUGUCACUCUCAGUUAUUUGGAAUAGCAUUGGAAACCCCUGUUGUUAGAGAAUAAAGCUGUUGCACAUUAUUAUGUUUUUUAGGCAUGCAUGAUAUAUCAGUACCAUUAUUAGAGUUUUUUUUUAUUAUUAUUUAUCUGUGUUGGGUGAUAUUGGGUAUUUCAUUGUGCUGUUUUUACAUUUAGAUUAUCUUUGCUGUCAUCUAAUACUCUGUUAAAAUAAUUGAUAAUACACAUUAACAUGUAAUCUUUGGGAAAUCUCAAAAUUAAUACCCUUUAUAAUGCUUCACAUUAUAGUUAUCUGAUGCCUAAAUUAAAUUGAUUUUAGUUUUUAGUGUUUUAUUUUAUUAUCUGUUCAUGCAAAAUAUCAGCCAUUUAUUAGUAAUCAGCUAAAACUUGUUAUCAGCCAGAAUUUUUGUCAGUAAUUUGCAGUAUCAGUUUUUGCUGUAUAUAUCAGCUUUGUAU
rnacentral:lncRNA from 1 species